rnacentral:rRNA from 1 species
UACUCCUACGGGAGGCAGCAGUGGGGAAUAUUGGACAAUGGGCGAAAGCCUGAUCCAGCCAUGCCGCGUGUGUGAAGAAGGUCUUCGGAUUGUAAAGCACUUUAAGUUGGGAGGAAGGGCAGUAAGUUAAUACCUUGCUGUUUUGACGUUACCAACAGAAUAAGCACCGGCUAACUUCGUGCCAGCAGCCGCGGUAAUACGAAGGGUGCAAGCGUUAAUCGGAAUUACUGGGCGUAAAGCGCGCGUAGGUGGUUCAGCAAGUUGGAUGUGAAAUCCCCGGGCUCAACCUGGGAACUGCAUCCAAAACUACUGAGCUAGAGUACGGUAGAGGGUGGUGGAAUUUCCUGUGUAGCGGUGAAAUGCGUAGAUAUAGGAAGGAACACCAGUGGCGAAGGCGACCACCUGGACUGAUACUGACACUGAGGUGCGAAAGCGUGGGGAUCAAACAGGAUUAGAUACCCUGGUAGUCCACGCCGUAAACGAUGUCGACUAGCCGUUGGGAUCCUUGAGAUCUUAGUGGCGCAGCUAACGCGAUAAGUCGACCGCCUGGGGAGUACGGCCGCAAGGUUAAAACUCAAAUGAAUUGACGGA